rnacentral:rRNA from 1 species
CAUGUAGGUGGAUACUUAAGUCUGUUGUGAAAAUGCGGGGCUCAGCCCCGUAUUGCGAUGGAAACUGGGUGUCUUGAGUGCAGGAGAGGAAAGGGGAAUUCCCAGUGUAACGGUGAAAUGCGUAGAUAUUGGGAGGAACACCAGUGGCGAAGGCGCCUUUCUGGACUGUGUCUGACACUGAGAUGCGAAAGCUAGGGGAGCGAACG